GACGAACGCUGGCGGCGUGCCUAAUACAUGCAAGUAGAACGCUGAAGAGAGGAGCUUGCUCUUCUUGGAUGAGUUGCGAACGGGUGAGUAACGCGUAGGUAACCUGCCUUGUAGCGGGGGAUAACUAUUGGAAACGAUAGCUAAUACCGCAUAACAAUGGAUGACACAUGUCAUUUAUUUGAAAGGGGCAAUUGCUCCACUACAAGAUGGACCUGCGUUGUAUUAGCUAGUAGGUGAGGUAACGGCUCACCUAGGCGACGAUACAUAGCCGACCUGAGAGGGUGAUCGGCCACACUGGGACUGAGACACGGCCCAGACUCCUACGGGAGGCAGCAGUAGGGAAUCUUCGGCAAUGGGGGCAACCCUGACCGAGCAACGCCGCGUGAGUGAAGAAGGUUUUCGGAUCGUAAAGCUCUGUUGUAAGUCAAGAACGAGUGUGAGAGUGGAAAGUUCACACUGUGACGGUAGCUUACCAGAAAGGGACGGCUAACUACGUGCCAGCAGCCGCGGUAAUACGUAGGUCCCGAGCGUUGUCCGGAUUUAUUGGGCGUAAAGCGAGCGCAGCGGUUUGAUAAGUCUGAAGUUAAAGGCUGUGGCUCAACCAUAGUUCGCUUUGGAAACUGUCAAACUUGAGUGCAGAAGGGGAGAGUGGAAUUCCAUGUGUAGCGGUGAAAUGCGUAGAUAUAUGGAGGAACACCGGUGGCGAAAGCGGCUCUCUGGUCUGUAACUGACGCUGAGGCUCGAAAGCGUGGGGAGCGAACAGGAUUAGAUACCCUGGUAGUCCACGCCGUAAACGAUGAGUGCUAGGUGUUGGAUCCUUUCCGGGAUUCAGUGCCGCAGCUAACGCAUUAAGCACUCCGCCUGGGGAGUACGACCGCAAGGUUGAAACUCAAAGGAAUUGACGGGGGCCCGCACAAGCGGUGGAGCAUGUGGUUUAAUUCGAAGCAACGCGAAGAACCUUACCAGGUCUUGACAUCCCGAUGCUAUUUCUAGAGAUAGAAAGUUACUUCGGUACAUCGGUGACAGGUGGUGCAUGGUUGUCGUCAGCUCGUGUCGUGAGAUGUUGGGUUAAGUCCCGCAACGAGCGCAACCCCUAUUGUUAGUUGCCAUCAUUCAGUUGGGCACUCUAGCGAGACUGCCGGUAAUAAACCGGAGGAAGGUGGGGAUGACGUCAAAUCAUCAUGCCCCUUAUGACCUGGGCUACACACGUGCUACAAUGGUUGGUACAACGAGUUGCGAGUCGGUGACGGCAAGCUAAUCUCUUAAAGCCAAUCUCAGUUCGGAUUGUAGGCUGCAACUCGCCUACAUGAAGUCGGAAUCGCUAGUAAUCGCGGAUCAGCACGCCGCGGUGAAUACGUUCCCGGGCCU
rnacentral:rRNA from 1 species